CAUCAAAUAUACAUUUCAAAGGAAGAGAAAGAGACAAGCUCCAAGCAUAUCUGAAGUUGAUGUCUCUCUUGAGACAGAAAAUAAAACAGGAGAUGGGAAAAAUUGCCAUCAGGAACUGGAGCAACACAAGUCCAGCUUGUUAGUAGAGUCAUCGCGAGAUAGUAGGCGGUUGGCCCAAGUUGCUCGACAGCUUAUAUCAUUGUCUGAAAAGAAGUGGUGGCGUUAAACCUGGUUUUCGGCUUAGGAGUACAGUGGGAACGCUGAGCUACAGGAUAAAUGUCUGAAACUCCAGUUGUUCCCAACUAUGCAACAGAGAGAGAGAGAGGGAGAGAGAGAGUUGUUGAUCGGGAUUUGGAAAUUAUGGGCUCCCAUGUCCAAAUAACUGCAACUUAAUCAGUACUGUAGAUUAUCGUUAAUCUCGAUUCAUUUGGGGUUAUGUCCAAAGCUUCCAUUCAAGAGUAAUGCUUUUCCAUUUAUCCAUGUUGCAAUAGGCAUAAUCCAGUGAGUUCAGUUCUUGUUCAGUUGGCCAUGGAGCAGAUUGGGAUUUUCCA